UACGUAGGGUGCAAGCGUUGUCCGGAAUUAUUGGGCGUAAAGAGCUCGUAGGCGGUCUGUCGCGUCGAAUGUGAAAACCCGGGGCUCAACCCCGGGCCUGCAUUCGAUACGGGCAGACUAGAGUUCGGUAGGGGAGUCUGGAAUUCCUGGUGUAGCGGUGAAAUGCGCAGAUAUCAGGAAGAACACCCGUGGCGAAGGCGGUUCUCUGGGACGGUACUGACGCUGAGACGCGAAAGCGUGGGGAGCAAACAGG
rnacentral:rRNA from 1 species